CGCGUAGGCGGAUACUUAAGUCGGGGGUGAAAGCCCAGGGCUCAACCCUGGAAUAGCCUUCGAUACUGGGUAUCUUGAGUACGGGAGAGGUGAGUGGAACUCCGAGUGUAGAGGUGAAAUUCGUAGAUAUUCGGAAGAACACCAGUGGCGAAGGCGACUCACUGGCCCGUUACUGACGCUGAGGCGCGAAAGCGUGGGGGAGAAACA
rnacentral:rRNA from 1 species